GCAAGUCGAACGGAGAACCUAGCUUGCUAGGGGAUCAGUGGCAAACGGGUGAGUAACACGUGGGAAUCUGCCCGAUAGUACGGAAUAGCCGUUGGAAACGACGAUUAAUACCGUAUAUUCUCUACGGAGGAAAGAUUUAUCGCUAUCGGAUGAGCCUGCGGCGGAUUAGCUAGUUGGUGGGGUAAUGGCCUACCAAGGCGACGAUCUGUAGCUGUUCUGAGAGGAAGAUC
rnacentral:rRNA from 1 species